GGCGAGGGGCAGGUUGGAAGCGGGGGUCACAGAAUUGCAGGGGGGCCUCCGCGAGGAGAAUGAUCCUGAGGAUGCGCAGGUCAGAGGACCAGGCUCCCACGGCCAGGUGAGCUCAAACUCCUAGCAAGGACGCCCUCCCCGCCCUCCCCCCACAACUCGCCUCUCCCUGCCUUUGCUGACGGUGAGGCGUGGCUCAGGCAUUAAUUGAGAAGCUUUGUCGCUCUUUAAAUGAAGAGAAAGAACUUCAAGUGGACAGACAAGCGAAC